AUUGAACGCUGGCGGCAGGCUUAACACAUGCAAGUCGAGCGAGCGGCGGACGGGUGAGUAAUGUCUGGGAAACUGCCCGAUGGAGGGGGAUAACUACUGGAAACGGUAGCUAAUACCGCAUACUAUCAGAUGCGCCCAGAUGGGAUUAGCUAGUAGGUGGGGAAAUGGCUCACCUAGGCGACGAGCCCUAGCUGGUCUGAGAGGAUGACCAGCCACACUGGAACUGAGACAAGGUGCAGACUCCGACGGGAGGCAGCAGUGGGGAAUAUUGCACAAUUGGGGCAAGCCUGAUGAAGCCAUGCCGCGGGUGUGAAGAAGGCCUUCGGGUUGUAAAGCACUUUCAGCGAGGAGGCGUUACUCGCAGAAGAAGCACCGGCUAACUCCGUGCCAGCAGCCGCGGUAAUAC
rnacentral:rRNA from 1 species